CUCGUCUUCAUUGUAAAAUGUUGCGUAGCCAUGCGCACUCAUGUCUUUGAAUAUCCAUGGCCAACGAUCUAGGCAUUUGGCAGAAAACUUCCUACAAGAAGAAAAAUUUUGUUUAAUACUUCACUUCACUUACAAAUGUAAUUACAUGGUUUUAUUAACAGCAGCAUUGGAAUCAUUUGAAUGGCAACUCAUCAAUAUGUUGUCCAACCAGCAUUGCUAUCAAUGCUGCAGUUGUUCCAUCACCAACAAUGGAUUGCGCGUUGAAUAUUUGUGAUUUCAAAUCAUUCUUAAGGUACUUGUAUAUCGGAUCUAGCUUUCGUUGAAAGUGUGCAUGGGAAGUAGAAUCUAAGCCCACCAUCAUAAUGUUCAGUGGUAUUCCUGGUUUCUUUUGAGGAACUCUGUUUAGUAUUUCAUCACGAGAAUUCACUUCCAUGUGAAAUUCUUUUUGAAUUUUAUUAUCUGUUUUGUGAAUCUCGACAUACACCAUGUCUUCGUUAAGGAUCACCUCUGGCUUUGAUGGUGUAAGGGUGCCUUUUUCCUUGACAUUAAACCAUUCUCCAGAGUUGCUACGUCCUUUAAUAACUUCAUAUUCUGCUUUGAUUGCUCUUAAUCUUCCAGCUAGAAAACAACACUUAUCCAUGAGUUUUGGGAACAUCAUGGCACAAGUAUGUUCAUAAUUUAAAAAUUUUUACACAAAAAUAUAACAAACAAAAUUUUUACCAAACAUAAGUUAUGUAAGUGCACAAUAUGUGUAAAUGGAGAAAAUGGGGACCCAGGGAUGUAUGAAAGGAUAAUUAGAGGCUUAUGCAAAUAUGUAUAGAACACUAUAACUCUUUAUCCUUGAUACACAUCGAAAAUGGUGUUGUGCUUUUUACAUAUUGCAGUUGAUUGUUUUCAUAUAUCUUUGAUGUUUGAUGUAUUCUUAGUUGUUAGUACCAACAAGUAAAAGUGGUUUUUUAAACAGAACUUUGACAAAUCAAGUUUUUGGCUGAAGAUCACAAGCUAACCAUAGAAACUUUAUUCAAGCAAAUUACUGAGAUGAAUGAACUUUAAACAUACCUGCUGUUAGCGUCAACUUUCCAUUUCUAUAAAAUGUCAAGUUUUUUUCUCCUUUGCAAA